ensembl:lncRNA
GUUUGCCUCCCCGCAUUAUAAACAACACAGUUAUAAAUAUCUUUGCACAUACACCUUAGCAAAAAUAUGUUUAUUUUCCUUAAAAAAGUAAAGUAGAAUUGUUUGGUCAAAGGUUAGACCUUUUUUGUGAUACUGAAGAUUGAACCUAUUUAUUGAUAUUAGUAUUAGUGUGUGCUUUUAAUGAUAUCUGUGUUGACGAACUGGCACAUACAUAUAACAAAUCUUGGUCCUUUCCAAUCUUCUUACCUUCCCUCCUUGUCUCCUCCCACUCCCUGAUCCCUUUCCCCAUCUCCAAAAAGUCUGCCUUCUUAUUUCCCACCAUCACUUCUUUAUUAUACCCAUUCAUGUAUUUAUUUACUCAUAUUUUAGAUUUCUCAUAUGAGAGAAAGCAUGCAAUAUUUAACUUGCAGUGUCUAAUUUUGCUUCAUUUUCUGUUCUCAAAUCCCACCCUUUUUCCUACAAAUAACAUGAUUUUGUUCUUCAUGGGUAAAUGAUGUCCCACUGUGUAUAUAUGCCACACCACAUUUUCUUUAUCCACUCAUCUGUUGCCUGGCAUCUAGGCUGUUUCCAGAGCUUAGCUAUUGUGAAUUGAUCUGCUAUAAAAAUUAGUAAACAUGUAUCUCUGAGCAUAAUGUGCUUAAUUCUUUUGGUAAGAUACCCAGGAGAGGUAUUGCUGGGUCAAAUCGAAUUUCUAUUUUUAGUUUUUUGAGGAAUCUCCACACUGAGUCUCUUGUGCUUGCACAGUGGUUACAUUAGAUUACAUUCCCACCACCAAUGUAGAGGAUUUCCUUUCUCCCCAUAUCCUCGCCAAGAUUUAUUGCGUUUGUGUUCUCGAUGAUAGGAUUUUGACCAGGGUAAGGAGGAAUCUCAGAAUUGUUUUGAUUUGUAUUUCCCUAAUGGAUAACGAUGAUGGACAUUUUUCCAUGUACCUGCUGGCCAUUUAUACUUCUUUUGAGACAUGUCUAUUCAGUGCAUUUGCCCAUUUUUUGAUUGGGUCAUUUGUUUUUCGGGGUUAAUUUUUUGAGUUAUUUAUAUUGUCUAGAUUUUACCAGAGGAGUAACUUGUAAUUUUUUCCCAUUCUGUAGGUUGUCUUUUCACUCUGUUGACUGUUUCCUUUGUUGUGCAGAAGCCUUUUAAUUUGAUGUAAUCUCAUUUGUUGACUCUUGAUAUUACUUCCUGUGCUAUUGGAGUUUUCUGUUAAGAAAGUCUUUGCCUGUGCCUAUGGCUUCAAUUUUUUCCCCUUUAUCUUUCAGCAGUUUCAGAGUUUCUGUUUUUAUAUCUAGGUCUAUGAUCGAUUUUGAUUUUAUUUUAAUACAGGAUGAGAGACUGGGAUCUAGUUUCUUUUUUUUUUCUUUUGGGUAACGGGGAUUGAACUCAAGACCUUGCGCUUGCAAGGCAGGUGGCAGAACCACUAAGCUAAAUCCCCGGCCCCGGGAUCUAGUUUCUUGUCUUUCCUUUUUUUUGUGCUGGGGAUCGAACUCGGGACCUUGUGCUUGUGAGGCAGGCAGCGGAACCACUGAGCUAAAUCACUGGCCCCCAGGGAUCUAAUUUCAAUCUUCUGCAUGUAGGUAAGUUGUUUUCCCAGCACCAUUUAUUUUAUUUUAUUUUUUUGGUCCUGGGGAUCGAACUCACAACCUUGUGCUUGGGAGCCAGGUGUGGUGCCACUGAGCUACAUCCCUGGCCCUACCAUUGGUUUGUUUUGAGACAGUCUUGCUAUGUACUUUAGGCUGGUCUUGAACUCCCUAUGUAGCCCAGGCUGGCCUGGAAUUCAUGGUGAUCCUCCUGUCUCAGCCUCCCAAGUGCUGGGCAUGCUCCACCAUGCCUGGGUUCAGCACCAUUUGCUAAAGAGGAUGUCUUUUCUGCAGCAUAUGGUUUUGGCCCUUUGUCAAAAAUUGUUGGUGGUAGGUGUAUGAGGGUGUUUCUGUAUCUUUUUUUUUGGUACUAGGGAUUGAACUUUGGAUCUUGUGCUUGUGAGGCAGGCAUCGGCACCACUGAGCUAAAUCCCCAGUGUGUUUCUGUAUUUUCUGUUCUAUUCCACUGGUCUACAUGUCUACUUUUGGGCCAGGAGCAUGUUGUUUUUCUUACUAUAGCUUUGUAGUACAACUUUAAAUCUGGUAUUACGAUGUCUCCAACUUUUAUUUUUUUCUCAGGAUUGCUUUGGUUAUUCUCGGUCUCUUCUGGUUUCAUAUGAAUUUUAGAAUUGUUUUUGGUAGUUCUGUAAAGAAUGUUGUUUAUAUUUUAACAGGGAUUGUAUAAAUCUAUAGAGCACUUGGUAAUAUGGCCAUUUUAGCAAUGUUAAUUCUGGCUAUCCAACAACCCAUUUUCUUUCUUUCUUUUUUUUUUUUUGGUACCAGGGAUCGAACUCAGGUCCUUGUGCUUGCUCAGCAGGCGGCAAAACCACUGAGCUAAAUCCCCGGCCCGAUGUGUUCCCAUUUUCUACUGUCUUCAAUUUUUUUUUUUUCUGGCACCGGGAAUCAAACUCAGGACCUUGUGCUUGCCAGGCCUUGGCAGCGCCACUGAGCUAUAUCCCGGCCCAAUAUAUAUGUUUAUUUCACAUAUUGUUCUACCCCCACCCCUUCCGGGGGACGAACUCAGGACCUUGUGCUUGCCAGGCAGGCGCCACACCACUGAGCUACAUCCCUGGCACUUUCUUCAAAGAUCUGUAAUUUUCAUUACACACACCUUUUACCUCCUUGGUUAGGAUGAUUCCUUGGUAUUUUUAGUCUUUUUUAAACUAUUGUAGUCUAAUACAGGACAUAUAAUUUAUAGGAUUAUUUUAUAAUAUUCACCCAGAAAAUGAAAUGUGGAGGAGUACAAGAGAUCUGUACACACACUAGAAACCCAAAGAAUCCAGCCGAUGGCCUGGAUCCCACAGCAGUGGCCCAGCUAAAGGCCUAGAGCCCACGGCAGUGUCUCAUGCUUGUCCAUAUCAGAGAUCUGUACCGGCAAGCCACAAAGGCCACUGGAAGCUAGAAAGCCUGAACUGGUGAGGUGAAGGAUCAGUGCCACCAGGCUGAGGGAUCUGCACUGGAGCCAGGAAGUGAUUCUCCAGGUAAAGACCAGAGCUCUCCUGCUGAGAACAGUAGCCAUUCCCAGCGCCAGCGAGACCCCAAGCACCUCCUUCUAUGAGAGCAGCCAAGUUUGCAUCAGGAAAACCAGCCACGGUAAGCUCCCCACCCUGCCCCGUGCCCCAAAAAUCAACAGCACACGAUCUUCCCCUCCAGUUCUUUUUCUGCCAUUGGCAACAAUCCUCAGGUGGGUCUUGCACACCCAGAACCACCCUGAUUCAGUUCAGCUGAGCAUUCCAACUUGACCGUUAGUUAAUCCACCACAACUAUCAUGAACAGAAAUGAAUUCCUGAUUUCUUUCUUGAUGGAUUCAUUAUUGGUGUAUAGAAACACUAUUUGUAUGUUGAUUUUGUAUCCUGGCAUUUUGCUGAAUUUGUUUAUCAGGUCUAAAACUCCUCUACUAGAGUUUUUUUGGGGGGUCUUCUAUGUAAAUAAUUAUAUCAUCUGCAAAGAGGAAUUGUUUAACUUGCUUUCCUAUUCGUACCCCUUUUAUUGCUUUCUCUUAAACCUGCUUGCUCUCACUGAAGUUUCCAGUACACAAACACUGAGGAGGACUGUCGAGAGUGGACACUGUAGGAACCAGCCUAUGAGCUUGAACCUGACCAAGGGGUGACGAGGAUGAAAAAUAAGGAGACGCAGGGCUGGGGAUUUAGCUCAGUGGUUUCGCCGCCUGAUGUGCAAGCAAAAGGAUCUGGGUUCAAUCCCUGGCACCAAAAAAAAAAGGAGACACAGAAACAGGUUAAAAUUUGGAGUGCCAGGAGGCUCAUGUCUCCCCUCCACAUAGAGCCCCAAGUGCCUGGUGCAUGUUGGCUUUAUUCGCUCAACUCAGUCAGAGCCAUUAGAGUUCCACAGGCCGCAUCUGUCUGUCUCCGCCCUCCACGGUGCUUCUCCGGGUGAACACCUCAACCUCAGGUGUUCUUACUUCCCCUGCAGCGUGUGAGCACGCUCACACGCCCUCUCUCUCCUCAGGGAUCUCCGAGCAGGCCAGUUAGGCCUCCUUCUUCCCAUCUGGUCUCCACAGGACACCCGCUCCUCUUUCAUUUAAGAAAAAGCUUUGUUUUCUCCACUUAAUAUGACAUUGGCUGUGGGUCUGUCAUAGUUUGUACAGAAGAAUCCUAUGCUUGAAAGAUUCUAAUAAAUUCAAACAAAAACAACCCUAGAUCCUCUCUGCCAAGGCUGCUGUGGCUUCAGAGUGCUAGGCAGGGGGCCUGGAGGGAACCAGGAAAGAGGAGCAGGACGCUGUCCUGUGGGCCCACACUGGGCUUUCCCAAGGCUGCAAACUCUGGCACCUGAAGAAAAGAAAGGACAGUAAAUGAUUAAACAGCGCUGGGGGAUGGCCUUUGAGGUGAGGAAGGCAACAUCUGCAGGGAGCUCCUCAGAGGAACCCCAGCCGGCUGCAGGCCGCAGGCAGACGGUGGCAGCACGGCCUCCAGCAGGGGCAUUGUCCACUCAGGCAUGUCCUUCUCACUCAGCCUGCUAAUGCUUCUAUGCUGGCAGAGGCCCCAGUGUUUUUUCCAUCUCUUCUCAAAACCUUAUAUAAACCAUUCACUCAUUUUCAUUGAUUCGGCUGGAUUAAUUUGAUACCUAUGUAGCAG